CACCCUCUAUCCACCUUCCACCCACCUGCCCUCCAUCCACUCACCCAUCUGUCCACCCACACACCCUCACACAGCCAUGUGACACUUCAGUCAACAAAGGACACUAUAUCUGACAGUAGUUCCAUUAAGAUUGUGUCACCAAGUGAUGUCCUGUCUUAGUUUGCAUAAGUGCACCCCAUGACAUCAACAAAAUGGUGAAACCCCCUGGCGGUGCAUUCCUCAGAACAUACCCGUCGGUAAGUCAUGCAUGACCGGCAUCUGCGCACCCUCCUCCUCCCUCCAGCCAUCUAGACCCGCAUCUCUCCAUCUGCACACAGUGUUGGUGCUGCUUCCUCCUAGCCCGUCCCCACCAGCUCCUGCAUCAACCUGCUGAUCAUCUCUCUAAUGCCAGUUGCUGAGGAACUCCCAGCCCUUCCUGCCCGUCCGUCCGUCAUCCGCAGUUUCAUUCACCCUUGCCCCUGCUGUCCCCCACACACUCACCCAUUCUUAGGAAUCCAUGUCUGCAUUUGCCGUGUCCGCCCCUCCCAGCCUCCCACCGGACCUCCCUGCUUCCCCGUCUCAUUGCCGAACACCUCGUGUCAACCUACCAGGUCAUGCAUCUGCACCCAGCACAUCUGCCUCAGGCCUGUUCAUCUGUCCACCCUGUGAUCUUUCUCAAUCUGUCCUUCCUCCCUCCUCCAGUUAUUUACACACCAGUCAUCAUCCCUCCCACCGCCACCUCCUUACCCGUCACACUAGACCCAAGGGCUCAUGGUGGCUCUGAUUCAGAGCAUGUUUGAGCCCUGACCACACCUCUGAGUAGCCGUGAGACCUUAAAUGACCACUACCUUUGUGCUCGAAUCUCUUCCUUUUACAGAUGAGGAUGGACACACCUCUGAGUGCUGUUGAGAAGAGUUGACACACAAAACACAACCAGCCAGGGCUGUGCCUUCCCUUGGUCUCCACUUAGUAUCACUCUUGUUCCGUCUGCCCUUCCUGCUCCUCUGCUCCUACCUCGGUCACCCCAUCCUGCCCCAGGAGGACUCCGCCCAGGCGCCCCCCUCAAUCCUCCAGCUUCCUCCAGACACCCACCCUUCCCCAGCUGCUGGACGCCCAGCCACCUCUCUCCUCACCCCGCCUCUGCCCGUCCAGCCACCCCAUCCCAGCACUUCCUGACCCACGUGUUGAAGCAAAGAUGCUUCUUCCCAACUUCCCCCUUCCCGUUCACCCCACUGCACGGCUCCUACUCCAACCAUGUGACCCCUUUCCUGAUCUCUCAGCCAUUAGCUCUUCUCCCCUACUUUUACCCACCGACACCCCCGACCCGUCAGUCCCUCCAGGUGACCAUCCGCCCGCCAUCCGCCUCUCCACAUCUCCUCUCCCCCUUUCCCUCUGCCCACUGGCCCUCCCGCAGGUUCCUCUCCCAUGAGUCCCUCUCUGCACACAGCAUCCAGCUGAAACCCUGUCGCCUCACCCACUCCAACCCCACUGCUUCCAUCUUGUGAUCUCCGCCCCUAUCCCAGGUCUGCCGUCUCCUCCUCUGGGCUCCUCCUCUCCCGUGGAUACAUGGGUUCGCCUCAGUGCACACACUUACCGCCUUCCUUCACUCCCAACGCCACGCUGUCCUCCUCCCUUCCUCCCCUGCACCCUCCCUGUGACGUCUCAUCACAGCCAUUCAUGAAGCCGUCAAUCUCCUAAUCGUUGAUUCACUCAGACUCCCUGCAUCUUCCCACGACUUCUUCAUUACUAUGCUCACGGUAAAUCACCGUCCACUAACAGUGACGAGAAACCCAGAGUUCCUGACCUUGGAGCAGACCUUUUGGCAGGGAAGCCAGACAAUUAUGAAACACUUACGCAUGUCAAGUGGUGAUGUCAGCAAGAAAACAUGAACAAGCCACGACCGAGGCGACGGGCAGGGGCCGACGCUGCGUAGAGGGUGGGCAAAGCCGUCCUCUUUGUGGGUGAUACUUGAGUGUAGGCAGGAAGUGAUUCACACGGUAGCCUAAAGUGCACCCGGGGAAGAGUGCACCCAGGAGAGGGGCCGCCAGCAGAGCCCUGAGGGAACGUCAGUUCCAUGGGCAGUAUGGCUGGGCUGGGGUGGGACGAGGGGCAGGAGACCAGAGGGCAGCCAGGGCCCCGGCCACCUAGCCUUGCAAACCACAGGAAGCACUUGGUCACUUACUAGGAGUGAAAUGGAACUCUGAGAACAGGAAACAAAGGUCACAUAUAGGAGGGGGACUCGGGCCGCUGUGUGGAGAAGAGCCCAUGAGGACACAGGCGGGAGCAGGAGGACCAGGUGGGGACUGUCCUAAGAGUCCAGGUUGGACCACAUGGUGGGCACAGGAAGCUAAGACCUAGGCCUUCGAGGACACUCGUCCCUGGGUGUCCUGGGAAGGUAAGGCCCAGGUCUCCACAUGGGUACCAAGACCUGAAAGUGCUAUAAUCUCAGUGUUUGCACAUCAUCCCCUACUCUCCUGUCGGCACAAGUUGACUCCCCUGGAAGUGCUGUGUGAACAGUGGUUAUGCGGAAAGUCCAAUGCUGGGUAUUCUUUAGAGCAAGCUUCACACACUAGAUCUCAUUUUUCUGUUCAUUGCCUGUCCCCUUGUCUGUGAAUGUAAACUCCACAGGACAGAUUUGCUCUGCGCCUUGUAUUCCCAGGUUGUGUGGAAAUUGCAGGGAGGAGGCUAAAGUCAAGGCUGAUGGAUUGAAUGAGAGAGUGAAUCUGCCCCAAUCUACCAUCCUUAGGCAUACAAUAUGAAUCGUAAAUCAUACACUCCACCUUCCAUUAAUCCACCUGACGUUUCCUUCCAAAGUGCAAACAAAUCUAUUCACCAACUAUCCUUCCAUCCAACACACCUACUAUGUACCUGUCCCGAUGAUGCAGCUCACACCACUGCAUCCGGAGUACACCUGUCCCUCCAUGCACCCUGCCUACCUGUGCACCUGUCCUGAUGAUGUAGCUCACACCACUGCAUCCCCAGUGCACCUGUCCCUCCAUCCACCAUGCCUACCUGUGCACCUGUCCUGAUGAUGUAGCUCACACCACUGCAUCCCCAGUGCACCUGUCCCUCUAUCCACCAUGCCUACCUGUGCACCUGUCCUGAUGAUGCAACUCACACCACUGCAUUCCCCAGUGCACCUGUCCCUCCAUGCACCAUGCCUACCUGUGCACCUGUCCUGAUGAUGUAGCUCACACCACUGCAUCCCCAGUGCACCUGUCCCUCCAUCCACCAUGCUGCCUGUGCACCUGUCCUGAUGAUGUAGCUCACACCACUGCAUCGCCAGUGCACCUGUCCCUCCAUGCACCAUGCCUACCUGUGCACCUGUCCUGAUGAUGCAGAUCACACCACUGCAUUCCCCAGUGCACCUGUCCCUCCAUCCACCAUGCCUACCUGUGCACCUGUCCUGAUGAUGAGCUCACACCACUGCAUCCCCAGUGCACCUGUCCCUCCAUGCACCAUGCUGCCUGUGCACCUGUCCUGAUGAUGAGCUCACACCACUGCAUCCCCAGUGCACCUGUCCCUCCAUCCACCAUGCCUACCUGUGCACCUGUCCUGAUGAUGUAGCUCACACCACUGCAUUCCCCAGUGCACCUGUCCCUCCAUCCACCAUGCUGCCUGUGCACCUGUCCUGAUGAUGAGCUCACACCACUGCAUCCCCAGUGCACCUGUCCCUCCAUCCACCAUGCCUACCUGUGCACCUGUCCUGAUGAUGUAGCUCACACCACUGCAUUCCCCAGUGCACCUGUCCCUCCAUCCACCAUGCUGCCUGUGCACCUGUCCUGAUGAUGCAACUCACACCACUGCAUUCCCCAGUGCACCUGUCCCUCCAUCCACCCUGCCUACCUGUGCACCUGUCCUGAUGAUGAGCUCACACCACUGCAUCCCCAGUGCACCUGUCCCUCCAUCCACCAUGCCUACCUGUGCACCUGUCCUGAUGAUGAGCUCACACCACUGCAUCCCCAGUGCACCUGUCCCUCCAUCCACCAUGCCUACCUGUGCACCUGUCCUGAUGAUGUAGCUCACACCACUGCAUUCCCCAGUGCACCUGUCCCUCCAUCCACCAUGCUGCCUGUGCACCUGUCCUGAUGAUGCAACUCACACCACUGCAUUCCCCAGUGCACCUGUCCCUCCAUCCACCCUGCCUACCUGUGCACCUGUCCUGAUGAUGAGCUCACACCACUGCAUCCCCAGUGCACCUGACCCUCCAUCCACCAUGCCUACCUGUGCACCUGUCCUGAUGAUGAGCUCACACCACUGCAUCCCCAGUGCACCUGUCCCUCCACCCACCAUGCCUACCUGUGCACCUGUCCUGAUGAUGCAGAUCACACCACUGCAUCCCCAGUGCACCUGUCCCUCCAUGCACCAUGCCUACCUGUGCACCUGUCCUGAUGAUGUAGCUCACACCACUGCAUCCCCAGUGCACCUGUCCCUCCAUCCACCAUGCCUACCUGUGCACCUGUCCUGAUGAUGUAGCUCACACCACUGCAUUCCCCAGUGCACCUGUCCCUCCAUCCACCAUGCUGCCUGUGCACCUGUCCUGAUGAUGCAACUCACACCACUGCAUUCCCCAGUGCACCUGACCCUCCAUCCACCAUGCCUACCUGUGCACCUGUCCUGAUGAUCAGCUCACACCACUGCUUCCCCAGUGCACCUGUCCCUCCAUCCACCAUGCCUACCUGUGCACCUGUCCUGAUGAUGCAGAUCACACCACUGCAUCCCCAGUGCACCUGUCCCUCCAUCCACCAUGCCUACCUGUGCACCUGUCCUGAUGAUGCAGAUCACACCACUGCAUCCCCAGUGCACCUGACCCUCCAUCCACCAUGCCUACCUGUGCACCUGUCCUGAUGAUGCAGUUCACACCACUGCUUCCCUAGUGCACCUGUCCCUCCAUGCACCAUGCUGCCUGUGCACCUGUCCUGAUGAUGCAGAUCACACCACUGCAUCCCCAGUGCACCUGACCCUCUAUCCACCAUGCCUACCUGUGCACCUGUCCUGAUGAUGCAUUUCACACCACUGCUUCCCUAGUGCACCUGACCCUCCAUGCACCAUGCUGCCUGUGCACCUGUCCUGAUGAGCUCACACCACUGCUUCCCCAGUGCACCUGUCCGUCAAAGCACCAUGCCUACCUGUGCACAUGUCCUGAUGAUGCAGAUCACACCACUGCAUCCCAGUUCAGCAGCUGGCCACCUAUGCCCAUCAUCCCUGUCUGGAUCUCUCCACCUGUUCUGUUCACCCAGCAUGCAUUUUUAUGUUUUGUGCCCAUCUCUUCCACCCCGUAGAUGUGAAUUUGCAAACGCACCUAUGUCUGCUCAUUCCUCCACAUCCCUAUAUCCAUCCAUGCGCUUUCACCCCUGUGGCAUAUAUUAUCCAACCCGGCCUGCCUGUCCCACCCAUCACUCUGCACUAGUGCCUGUGCUGGCCGCUGCCCAGCUGGUCUGUAUUCCUGAAUAUACCAAUCUUCCUCCUGCUUUCCUCACAUUCAUUCCUGUGCCCCCUGAGCCCCCUGCUCAUAUGUCUGCCUCAUUCUCAUCUAGUCACUUGUCCCACACAGUGAUACCCUUCACUUACCUCCUUAGGCACCAACCUGUCCACUGUCCUGCAUCCAUUUGUCCACAGCCCACCCUCCCACUCCUCUGCUACAGCUAUCUGUCCAGCACAUAUUCCUGCAUGCAGUCCUCCAUGCCUGUGUCCAGUAUGUGUCUCCCUGGACCUCCUUCUUUCCCCCACCCUUUCCUGUCUUCUAGUCACCGCCACGUCCCCUUUCCUCGAGUCCUUAGAGCCAGCCCUCUGCACCCACUCUGUGGCCCUGUGCCCCCCCCCCACUCCCCACCCUGUGGCUCACCCUCUCCAUCACUCCCUUCCGCACUUCACGGACCUGAAACGGAGGCCAUGACCAGGACUGGUCCAGGAAUGGAGAGCUUUGUCAACAUACAUGUGGCCCCAGGGUCAUCCGACAUUGGUGAUUUGGAGGAGGACGCCAGGUGCUCAUCUCAGGGUGCUUCCCACAUGCUGAUGGCCCUCUCUUCCUGAGCAUCCUGCCUGGGCAGAGGCUGAGGUGGGGCAGUCAGGCUGCUAGGGGUGGUCUCUGCUGGCCACUCUGGCCUGGAGGCCUUCUUUGCCUCCAUUGGAGGCAGACACGGGGACCCUGCACACCCACUGCUCAGUGAGAGCCUCCACACCCCGGGGCAGGCUGUGUCUCCACGUUGCAGGCAGCGGGGCCUGGUAGGACCCCGGCCACACCCGGCCAGCGAGCCCCACAGCGCCUUCACCCAGAGCUGCAGUCUAGAGCGUGGGGGGCCGUCUAGACCACCUAGUGCCGUCGUUCCUGUUCCUCCGGAGGAGCCUCCUUCAGUCAUAGAACAGGACAGUGCGGCUGGGUACAGGAGUGGCUGGCUGCCUGCGCAGCGGGAGACAUCAGGGAGAAGCGUGAUUUCGCAUCACAAUUAAAGAACUAGAUAGGCUAAGACUAGACCCAGUGGGAGAUGAGAUAACUCUGGAGAAAACGAUGCAAACUGCGUCUGAACCCAGCUUCAGACAGCGAGCACCGCCCACCGCCUGGUCCCUUAGCCUUCUGGUUUUAAAGUCUGCCUAUUGAUCACCCAGUCGGUGGGCUUCCUUGUGCCACGUGGUGCAGACAUACAAGCUCAGUUCCACUGAUUCCUCUCCCCGACAUGCCCCUGUCCCUCGCUCUCCCAUGGACCCCCGCUGUACCCUGGCGGGCCCCCUCUCCUUCCACCGAGGAGAGAAACAUACUUUUAUCUCUGAGGAUAACUUAUUCCACUCAAAAUCAUGGCCUCCAGUUCCGUCCAUGUUCCUGCACAUGCCGUAAUUUCCUUCUUCUUCGUGGCUGACUAAAUCUCCACUGUGCAUGUCCACCACAUUUUCUCUAUCCCCCCGUCCAUCGAGGGACACCUGGGCUGGCUCCGUCGUCUGGCUGCUGGGAGUGGUGUGUGUGUGUGUGUCACUGUAGUGAGAUGACUCUGACUCCUCAGGGUCAAUAUCGAGGCGUGGGGCAGCUGGGUCACAGGGAGGGUCCCUGCCUGGUCUUUUGGGUGGUGGCAGUUUCUUGGUCUCACAUCCUGGCCAGCAUUCAUUGCUGCUUGGGUUCCUGACGGCUGCCAUUCUGACCCGAGUGAGAGGGAACCGCAGCGUGGUUUUCAUGAACGUUUCCCUGAUGGCACGAGACUGUUUCCGUCCGGGACAAGAAGCUCGUCAACGACCUGAACGGGGCCGUGGAGGACGCCAAGACGGCCCGGCUCUUCAACAUUGCCAGCUCGGUCCUGGCCGCCUC